rnacentral:misc_RNA from 1 species
GAAAUACAAUAAUGGCGCUGAAGCUGCAUGGAUCAGCCAUGUCCACAAGCACCUCUCUUGUGAUAAUUUGUCUCCAUGAGAAAGAAGUAGAUUUUGAGCUCGUCCCUGUUGAUCUUUUCGCCGGCGAACAGAAGCAGCCUCAUUUCCUAGCCAAGAAUCCCUUUGGUCAGGUUCCAGUACUUGAAGAUGGUGAUCUCACUUUAUUUGAAUCCAGAGCAAUCUCAGCAUACAUAGCUGAAAAAUUCAAGGAAACUGGCUAUGAUCUAUUAAGGCACCAAAACCUGCAAGAAGCUGCAUUAGUGAAGGUAUGGAUGGAGGUAGAAUCUCAGCAAUUCCACCCUGCAAUAGCUCCAAUUGUCUACCAAUUUUACGUGGUCCCUCUUAAAGGUGUUUCCCCUGAUCAAGCAAUUAUCGACGACAACUUAGAGAAGCUAGGGAAGGUGCUGGACAUUUAUGAAGCUAGGCUGAGUAGCACCAAGUACCUGGCAGGGGAUUUCUAUAGCUUGGCUGAUCUUCACCACCUUCCUUACACUUGUUAUCUCAUGAAAACCACUGCAGCUUCAGUCAUAAAUGAACGCCCCCAUGUGAAGGCAUGGUGGGAGGAUAUUUCAUCCAGGCCAGUUUCCAAGAAAGCUGCAGAGGGUAUGACUUUUGGUGAGAAAUGUACCUUGAAGAUCAAAGCUCUAUUAUUAUAACUAUUUCAAGAGCUAGCUAGAUAAAUUUGUGGUCUUAAUGUGUUGGAAAUUUG